CAGCCGCCGCGGGAAUACCGAGGGUGCGAGCGUUAAUCGGAUUUACUGGGCGUAAAGCGUGCGUAGGCGGCUUCUUAAGUCGGAUGUGAAAUCCCUGAGCUUAACUUAGGAAUUGCAUUCGAUACUGGGAAGCUAGAGUAUGGGAGAGGAUGGUAGAAUUCCAGGUGUAGCGGUGAAAUGCGUAGAGAUCUGGAGGAAUACCGAUGGCGAAGGCAGCCAUCUGGCCUAAUACUGACGCUGAGGUACGAAAGCAUGGGGAGCAAACAGGAUUAGAUACCCCAGUAGUCCCUGUCUCUUAUAU
rnacentral:rRNA from 1 species